rnacentral:rRNA from 1 species
GUGUCAGCAGCCGCGGUAAGACGAACCGUGCGAACGUUGUUCGGAAUCACUGGGCUUAAAGGGCGCGUAGGCGGGCGGCCGCGUCCGGGGUGAAAUCCCACGGCUCAACCGUGGAACGGCCUCGGAUACGGGCGGCCUCGAGGGGGGUAGGGGCAUCUGGAACUGUGAGUGGAGCGGUGAAAUGCGUUGAUAUUCACAGGAACUCCGGUGGCGAAGGCGAGGUGCUGGACCCCAUCUGACGCUGAGGCGCGAAAGCCAGGGGAGCGAACGGGAUUAGAUACCCCGGUAGUCC